GACGAACGCUGGCGGCGUGCCUAAUACAUGCAAGUAGAACGCUGAAGGAGGAGCUUGCUUCUCUGGAUGAGUUGCGAACGGGUGAGUAACGCGUAGGUAACCUGCCUGGUAGCGGGGGAUAACUAUUGGAAACGAUAGCUAAUACCGCGUAAUAGUAGAUGUUGCAUGACAUUUGCUUAAAAGGUGCAAUUGCAUCACUACCAGAUGGACCUGCGUUGUAUUAGCUAGUUGGUGGGGUAACGGCUCACCAAGGCGACGAUACAUAGCCGACCUGAGAGGGUGAUCGGCCACACUGGGACUGAGACACGGCCCAGACUCCUACGGGAGGCAGCAGUAGGGAAUCUUCGGCAAUGGACGGAAGUCUGACCGAGCAACGCCGCGUGAGUGAAGAAGGUUUUCGGAUCGUAAAGCUCUGUUGUAAGAGAAGAACGAGUGUGAGAGUGGAAAGUUCACACUGUGACGGUAUCUUACCAGAAAGGGACGGCUAACUACGU
rnacentral:rRNA from 1 species